rnacentral:lncRNA from 1 species
UUCUGUGCUCUAUAGGUAACAGUGCCUGAGGAGAUACGUUAAGGGGAAACAGAAGGCUCCUCUUCCUCAUCUAUAACGUGUUUGGCUGCAGACACCACUAGGCAGCCAGCUUAUCGAACUACACUGAAUCCAGCAGCAGAAAACUUCAAUGAUCAUUAAGUCAAAUUGUGACACCCUACCUAUUUGAUUCGAACUAAGCUGAAAUUCUGAGUUAUAAGCAUCAUUUCUAAGACCACAGUUUCACUUGGAAAAGUGGAGCAGAGUUGGAGGAGGAGAUGGAGAAAGAGAGAUUAAACAACUCAGCAAACAAGUGGAGAAAUGGAAUAGAAUCACUGCUGAGGAAAACUGACUGAAAAGUUAACUUUCAACAAAAUCUUCAAAGGCUCUAAGGUGCCAUGCCAUGACACGUCGAAGGGAUAUGCUAAAUAUCAAGAGAUCCUGAAAUUUA